rnacentral:misc_RNA from 1 species
CAGAGUUAUUUAACUCCUAACCUUAUGUGAACUUACCUAUGUUGCCUCGGCAGGGACGCCUACCCGGGAGCUACCCGGUACUUACCCGGGAGCUUACCCUGUAUGCAUACCUGCCGCAGGACCUUUUAAAUUCUUGUUUUGCUGUGGCACUCUGAGGAAACGAAAAUUAAGUUA